rnacentral:rRNA from 1 species
CGUGAAAUUGUUGAAAGGGAAGGAUUUAUGACCAGACCUUUGCUUGCGGAUCAUCGGUGUUCUCACCGGUGCACUUUGCUUGGUUGAGGCCAGCAUCAGUUUUCCGGGCGGGAUAAAGACUUCAGGAACGUGACUCCCCCGGGAGUGUUAUAGCCUGCUGUGUAAUACCGCCGCUGGGACUGAGGACCGCGCGUCGGCUAGGAUGCUGGCAUAAUGGUCAUCAAUC